AGACAGCAGCAGCCACGGGAACACGAAGGGUGCAAGCGUUACUCGGAGUUACUGGGCGUAAAGCGUGCGUAGGUGGUGGUUUAAGUCCGUUGUGAAAGCCCUGGGCUCAACCUGGGAAUUGCAGUGGAUACUGGGUCACUAGAGUGUGGUAGAGGAUAGUGGAAUUUCCGGUGUAGCAGUGAAAUGCGUAGAGAUCGGAAGGAACAUCUGUGGCGAAGGCGACUAUCUGGGCCAACACUGACACUGAGGCACGAAAGCGUGGGGAGCAAACAGGAUUAGAUACCCCAGUAGUCCCUGUCUCUUAUAC
rnacentral:rRNA from 1 species